rnacentral:lncRNA from 1 species
GCGUGGAGAGUGGACGGAAGCUGCAUGUGAUUCCUCGAGCCAAGAAGGGUGCCGAGGGAAAGCCCCCUGGCCACAGCAGCCACGUCCUCUGCAUGGCCAUCUCCUCCGACGGCCUCUGGUGACCGCAGCAAGCUCAUUCUCAUUUGGGAGGCCCAGAGCUGCCAGCACUUGUACACCUUCACAGGACACCGGGAUGCAGUGUCGGUGAGGAGCUGGGUCUAUGUCAGUGGAUCUUUAGUGGGCACAUGCUAGUGUUCUAGGCUCAGUGCUGGCCUCUGGAGUCUCUGUCCUCAGGGAACCUGCAUCCUGGGGUAGCGAGU